GUACGAUGACGCUUUAACACUAGUGUACAAACUAACUUUUUAAAACAAAGUUAAUGACUGUCAGGUUAUCAGUCUUUAAUAUACAAAACAUUUUUUUAUUUGUACCUUUGUUAGAUUAUUAACAUAUACAUUUUAACUACAAUUAACAACUAUAAUAUUUGCAAAUAAAUCAUUAAAAUUUAAAGGAUGCACGGGUAUGCAGCUGUCCACUCCGUGCGCACACCUAUGCUCAAUAGGUAUUUAACAUAAUAUAUGUACCAGGUAAACUCAUUAUUUCGGAAAAUAUAUAUUUUUUUGGAAAUUUGUAUUCUAGACCAGCGGUUCUUAACCUUUUCACAUCCGCGAAUUAUUAACAUAUUUUGACAUUUAACACAUAC